GACGAACGCUGGCGGCGUGCCUAAUACAUGCAAGUCGAGCGGACGAAUCGAAAGCUUGCUUUUGAUUCGUUAGCGGCGGACGGGUGAGUAACACGUGGGCAACCUGCCCUGUAGACGGGGAUAACACCGAGAAAUCGGUGCUAAUACCGGAUAACACGAAAUGUCGCAUGACGUUUCGUUGAAAGACGGCGCAUGCUGUCGCUACAGGAUGGGCCCGCGGCGCAUUAGCUAGUUGGUGAGGUAACGGCUCACCAAGGCGUCGAUGCGUAGCCGACCUGAAAGGGUGAUCGGCCACACUGGGACUGAGACACGGCCCAGACUCCUACGGGAGGCAGCAGUAGGGAAUCUUCCGCAUUGGACGAAAGUCUGACGGAGCAACGCCGCGUGAGCGAAGAAGGCCUUCGGGUCGUAAAGCUCUGUUGUUAGGGAAGAACAAGUAACGCAGUAACUGGCGUUACCGUGACGGUACCUAACGAGAAAGCCACGGCUAACUACGUG
rnacentral:rRNA from 1 species